rnacentral:rRNA from 1 species
AUUGAACGCUGGCGGCAUGCCUUACACAUGCAAGUCGAACGGCAGCGCGGGAGCAAUCCUGGUGGCGAGUGGCGAACGGGUGAGUAAUAUAUCGGAACGUGCCCAGUCGUGGGGGAUAACGUAGCGAAAGCUACGCUAAUACCGCAUACGAUCUAUGGAUGAAAGCGGGGGAUCGCAAGACCUCGCGCGAUUGGAGCGGCCGAUAUCAGAUUAGGUAGUUGGUGAGGUAAAGGCUCACCAAGCCGACGAUCUGUAGCUGGUCUGAGAGGACGACCAGCCACACUGGGACUGAGACACGGCCCAGACUCCUACGGGAGGCAGCAGUGGGGAAUUUUUGGACAAUGGGCGCAAGCCUGAUCCAGCAAUGCCGCGUGCAGGAUGAAGGCCU